UGGGGCUGGGGCCGGGGAUGGCGGGGGCGCGGCUCGACCGGGGCGCGAGGCUCCACGAGGGCGCGAGGCUCCUGGAGCCUUGGGUCUCGCCUAGCUGUGAGAAGGCUGCUGGCCCACCUUUGUUCUUUUGAGACAAAGCCCUGAACUUGGGGCCUCGCGUUGUGCAGUUGCAGAUCCCCUGAGAAUUUAAUGUUUUGUAAUGAAGGACGGUACCAAAUUUAAAGCAGCAUCUUCAUGUUUUAUAAGCAUUGGACUCAAAAAGUUUUUCAGAUGAUGGAUAAUAGAGCGAAAGUUUCUGGACUUGGUUGGAAAAUAGCUAUGAAUGAUGAUAUGCUGCAGUUUCACAAAGGAAGCUGGAAGAACUAAAUAAAACAAGAACAUGGAAGAUGUGGAAAAGAACAUCCAACAAAGAAAAGCAGCGAGGAAAAUCCUAAGGUGGCAUGAGGGGAUAUCCCAGAACCUCAAGGAAAAAAUAGUGCAGGAGAUGAGGAGGAAGGAAAGGCUCCAGAGGCAGCUCAGAAAAAAUAUUCUUACGUGUUUUCAGCAUAAAAAAAUGGAAUUGGGGGCUAAGGUUGUAGCUCAGUGGUAGAGUGCUUGCCUAGCAUGUGUAAGGCACUGGAUUUGAACCUCAGACCACAUAAAAACAAACAAACAAAAAAGUAUUGUGUCCAGCUACAACUAAAAAAAAAAAAUGAAAUUGCUCAGUAUGUAGCAGAGAUGCUGGAACAUUGGGGAAAAUUAACAGUAGGUAGAUAAAAUAAUGGGAAAAUGAGGCAGUGAUUAACUUCAGAAAAAAAAUGAAAACAUGAAGGAAAAGAGGUUGCAAUGCAUUAAUUGGCUCUGUGAAUAAUAUUGACAGUGUAACAUUGACCAUUGGUUUAACAAGAAAUUAUAUAUAAUUAGGGAAUGGGGUAAGAAAAAUAAAGUUGAGAUAGGGGAGAGAGAUUUAGUAUUUUUUCACCUGGGCAGGAAGUCAGCAGACAAGGAUUAAAGUUGACAAAUUAACAAAUGGUGAUAUAAGGGGCUAGAGAUCUAGCUCAGUGAUAGAGCAGUUGCCUAGAAUGUGUAAGACCCUGAGUUCUAUCCCCAGCACCAAAAUAAAGAAAGAAAAGAAAAAUGGAUAUAUACAUACAAUUUUUUAAAGAUAUGGAGAAAAAUAUCAGUGAAACUAAAUAAGUGAGGGUAGUAACCUAUAGGGAUAGGACUGGGUGUUGGGAAAGUAGGGAUAAGAGAGACUUGUUUUAAUCACAGACCUUCUGGUACUGUUUUGACUUCUAAAAUGAUACACUUGGAUGUGCUUACUUCUCUGUGUGUUUUUCUUUCAUAAAAAAAUUUUUUUAAAAAAACUUUAAAAGUA